rnacentral:rRNA from 1 species
ACGGGUGAGUAACGCGUGGGUAACCUGCCUUAUACAGGGGGAUAACACAGGGAAACUUGUGCUAAUACCGCAUAACUCGGACUUUUGGCAUCAAAAGUCCGGCAAAGGAGUGCGUCUCCGAAAGGAGACGAAUCCGGUAUAAGAUGGACCCGCGUCCGAUUAGCUAGUUGGUGGUGUAACGGACCACCAAGGCGACGAUCGGUAGCCGGACUGAGAGGUCGAACGGCCACAUUGGGACUGAGACACGGCCCAGACUCCUACGGGAGGCAGCAGUGGGGAAUAUUGCGCAAUGGGGGAAACCCUGACGCAGCAACGCCGCGUGAAGGAUGAAGGUUUUCGGAUUGUAAACUUCUUUAGUCGGGGACGAAUAAUGACGGUACCCGAAGAAUAAGCCACGGCUAACUACGUGCCAGCAGCCGCGGUAAUACGUAGGUGGCAAGCGUUGCCCGGAUUUACUGGGUGUAGAGGGCGUGUAGGCGGGAAUGUAAGUCAGAUGUGAAAUACCGGGGCUCAACUCCGGAACUGCAUCUGAAACUAUGUUUCUUGAGUGCUGGAGAGGAAAGCGGAAUUCCUA